UACGUAGGGUGCAAGCGUUAAUCGGAAUUACUGGGCGUAAAGCGUGCGCAGGCGGUUUUGUAAGUCUGACGUGAAAUCCCCGGGCUCAACCUGGGAAUUGCGAUGGAGACUGCAAGGCCUGAAUCUGGCAGAGGGGGGUAGAAUUCCACGUGUAGCAGUGAAAUGCGUAGAGAUGUGGAGGAACACCGAUGGCGAAGGCAGCCCCCUGGGUCAAGAUUGACGCUCAUGCACGAAAGCGUGGGGAGCAAACAGG
rnacentral:rRNA from 1 species